UCCAGCUCCUUUUUCAGAGGAUUACAGAGAAAGAAAGUUUAGGAAUACAUAGAAAAUAUAAUGCCUAACAUUGAGAAGACUCCAGUCCUUUACCGUUUUGGGGAAAGCAAUCAACAGACAUGUGUUACAUGAAUGAAUAAAUAAAGUAAUGAUGAG